CAUUUUUUGUAACACUUUAAUAUUAGAUAACACUUUAUUGUAACACUUUAAUAUUAGGUAUCACUUGAUUGUAACACUUAAUUUUAUUUUAUUUUUUUGGAAGAAAAACACUUAAUUUGAUACUCCGUAUUCUUUUUUUCCUUGUCAAUUAUUUUUACUGUAUCAAAAUCGACCCUCAUAGCCUCACAAGUCACAACUUUUUUCUCCCUUGUAUUUCUCCAUCCCUCAAGCUUUCACCUGUCUGUUUACGCUGCACCUCCUUUCCUCGGCUUCCACCGCCACCACCUUCUCGCUCUCGGUGCUCCACUAUAGCCCACGUCCACCAUAGACUCCCUCCAUUGCAACCUGUGCUCCAACUCGAAGACAUACACAACAGCUCGUGCUCCAAGUUGAAGAGAUGGCAAUUGCCACCUACUGGCCUUCAUCCUCGGCGGCUUCCACCUAAAGUUAGGGUAGUUAGGGUUAGUUUAUUUCCCUCUCCCUUCCAUUUUUAACAAGAAUUAGAGCUAGCUUAAGUUAGGGUUUCAAUUCCCUCUCUCUAAUCUUAUUGAUGAUUUGUUAAUCUGAUGUUGAAUUUGCCUAUUAACAGGUUUAAUUUCAUUAUUUUCAUACUGAAUUUGGCAUGGAUCUAAAUUGGUUGAAGUAUUUAGAUGAGUUUGGGAAUUUUGGUUUUUUCUAAUUUUUGAAAAUUUUGAUUACUACAGAUUUAUAUAAAUUGGUUGAAGUAUCUAGAUGAGUUUGGGAUUUUUGUUUUUUCUUCCAAAAAUUUUGAUUACAGCAGAUUUUGAUUUACCUUGUAAUUUGAUGUUUGUUGACUACUCUGACCAAUUUUAAUUUAAUUAUUUUCUUUUCUGAAUGAAUCAUCAUAAGCUUGUCGAGAACCCAAGUAAUUGUGGGCAAAAGAAAUGCAGAAAUCUAAGGCAAUGCUAAUUAUAAGUGGAGGAAUGAUGUUUAUUUCUUGGUCACAUUAUGCUCUUGAUCAGAUUAUUAUUAUACAAAGUAUUUUUAAUAAGCUGUUUGGAAAUUCAUGUAAUCUUUGGAAUACACUACUAUGAAAAUGUUACCUUGAUUGGGGACGUAGAGAAGGGGUGAGGUUGGACUGGUGGUGCUACUGUGUAACUAAGUGUUGCUUAGUGAUUCAUAAAAUCAAUAAGAGGUAUUUUGUUUUGUGUUAUUUUUUUUAUGGGCUAUUUAAUUGUUUUUCAAUUAAUCUGCUGAGACAUAUUUUCUAAUUUAUACUUCAUGUGUUGAUUAGUAAAGAUUAAUAAUAAGUCUAAUGUAUAUGUAUUUAUGCUCAGCGCUCCCUUUUUUUUUAUCAUGGUUUUGAUCAAUCAACCUCUUAUUAUACUAUAGUAAAAUGGAAAAAAAAUUUAAAAAUUGGUAGCUUAGUUGUUUUAGUUCACUGUUUUGCAUUAAAGUUAACUACAAAAACAUUUACAUUAGAUAAUUUAUUAAUCAUUACUAAUCAACACAUGAAGAUGAUUGUUAUCGAGGGUAUUUGUUACUCGUGAUAUGAGUAUUUGACAAAAUGGGAUUGAUCAAGGGAGCAAAAAGAAUUUUUCCUGAGAUGUGAAAUGAAUGUUACUUCGUACUAUCCUUGUGCAAAGUUUGUGAACAAGUAAUUGUCUGAUGAGAUUGGGAUUAUGGUCAUUGUAUUAAGGAAAGUAAGUUAAAUGCUAGCAUUCUAAUUUUAUUAAUGAAAAAUAAGUUAAAUGCUAGCAUUCUAAUUUGACAAUUGUUAUGCCAUACAUGUGCUGACAUAAAUAAUGCUUACACGUGGACUUUUAUUUUGUGAGGGUUACUAAUGAGUUCCAUUUGGGAAGAAAUUUUGGUUGUGCUUUGCCAAUUGCUAAUAUUUAUAAAUCCAACACGUAUAAGAUUGAUAUAGAGAACUUGUGACUUUCACUCUCGACUCUCUAUGCCAUGGCAGAUUAGAUAGGCUGUGAGUAUUACCUAGCGUGUAUCUUUGUUAUAUGGAAUAUGUGAGAAUAUAUAUUGUCAGUUUAAGCUGGUUGUUUUUUUACCACUUUUUUUUUUUUAUAGGAAUAUGAUGUUUUGCAGGCAGGUUUCACUAGUAGAAAAAAGUAGAUGGCAAGCGGUUCAAAACUUCAAACUAGAAUUUUUUUUUUAUAGGAAUACUCUUUCUACUAAGCGUCGUAAGCAAUUAAUCUAGACUUUGUUUUAUGUGCAAUCAGGUGCUCUUUAUGUGCUCAGGUACUUGAAUCUACAGUCAUGUCUCAGACCAAAAAUGAAAAAGAACCAUGGCCAGCUGUAAGUAAGACAAAGAGAGAGACAUAGGCUGCUACAGGUGCAAUGAAGGCUUUCUUUUUCUUCUAUUUAGUACAUGAUGUGCUCGAGCAAAGAGCUGGGUUACGUUCCACACUUUCAUUGCAAGGCCGGUAACAAAGUUAGUUUAUAUGACUGAUUUGCUAUAAUUGAACCCAAAGUAACAUUGGAAGGUGAGGCAAAUUUCAGAAUGAUUAGAGGAAAGGGUUGUUAUAAACUGUAAUAUUAUUGUCUAUUCUUCCAACUUAUAAGCUGUAAUAUUAAGAUGUCUCCUUAUAGCCCGACUUCCUCAUAGCAAGUAUAUGUCCUAAGAUUUUGAUGCUUGCUUGAUGCUACUGCCGCUGCUGCUGCUGUUGCAUGUUGCUGCUGUUCCGUCUUUGUGCGCUGUUGUUCCGCUUUUGUGCUACUGUUGUUCUGCAUAUAUGUUGUUGCUGUACUGCAUAUGUGCUGCUAAUGUUCUACUACUGCUUCUGCAGUUCUGCUUAUGUGAUGCUGCUAUUCUGCUUAUGUAUGUGCUGCUACUGUUCUGUUUUUCAAGCUGCUAAUGUUCUGUUUUUGA